AUUGAACGCUGGCGGCAUGCUUUACACAUGCAAGUCGAACGGCAGCGCGGGCUUCGGCCUGGCGGCGAGUGGCGAACGGGUGAGUAAUACAUCGGAACGUGCCCAGUAGUGGGGGAUAGCUCGGCGAAAGCCGGAUUAAUACCGCAUACGACCUGAGGGUGAAAGCGGGGGAUCUUCGGACCUCGCGCUAUUGGAGCGGCCGAUGGCAGAUUAGCUAGUUGGUGGGGUAAAGGCCUACCAAGGCGACGAUCUGUAGCUGGUCUGAGAGGACGACCAGCCACACUGGGACUGAGACACGGCCCAGACUCCUACGGGAGGCAGCAGUGGGGAAUGUUGGACAAUGGGCGAAAGCCUGAUCCAGCAAUGCCGCGUGUGUGAUGAAGGCCUUCGGGUUGUAAAGCACUUUUGGCGGGAACGAAAAGGACUGUGCAAAUACCACGGUUAGAUGACGGUACCCGCAGAAUAAGCACCGGCUAACUACGUG
rnacentral:rRNA from 1 species